GGGGAUAUAGCUCAGCCGGGAGAGCGCCUGCCUUGCACGCAGGAGGUCAGCGGUUCGAUCCCGCUUAUCUCCACCA
rnacentral:tRNA from 1 species